GACUACUUGGCAGGAACAAGCGGGCGAUCAAAGGGGACCAAUUCGAAGUUAUAGGGAGUUAGAGCAGAGAUUUCCCCGCGCUGACGCCCAAACAAACCAUUUGAUUCAGUCAUUACAACAACCCGUAAACAUUAGUAAAAUACUGGAGUUGGGAGGUGAUUAUUGGGAGUGGUUUGUGGCCUGUUUUUGCGGGUGAUAAAGCCUUCAAUCGAGGAGACGACUCACUUUUGUUUAACGCUGUGGUUUUGCAAUGUCUUCCGUCUGGUGUCGCUGACAUGAUGCGGCGAACGAAUAUGAACUGGUCCGGGAAUUCCCGGUCGCACAUGAGAAUAACCCGUGAUGCCAUAUAAAUACCUUCUGAAAUUCUCAGUACAGUACAUCCAUCAGGUUUCCAGAACAGCUCUUCAAAGAACUUCAGACAUAUACAAAUUCAACAAUGUUAGAGAAACAUCUUGGAAUAUAUACUUGUGGUUCAUGGAUUUACUUGUAGAUCCCCUUCUUUUAAAAAGUCUCAUUGUUGGAUCACAAGGCUCUGGAUCAAGUUUGACACCUGGGCUUAUGCACAGGACAAAGCUGACAUUAAUAUUACAAAUAAUUAAGACCAUAAGAUGCAGAAGGACAAUUAAACCAUUCGGCCCAUCAAGUUUGCUCUUCCAUUUGAUUAUGGCUAAUACAUUUCUCAAUGCCAUUCUCCCCAUAACCUUUGAUCACCUUACUAAUUAAGAAACUAUAUAUCUCUGCCUUAAGUACACUAAAUGACUUAGCGUCCACAGCUUUCUGCACAACGAGUUCCAAAGAUUCAUCACCCUCUGACUGAAGAAAUUCUUCCUCUUCUUCAUUCUAAAGGUUUGGCCCUUCACUUUGAGGCUGUGAAGGUCCUAGCCUCUCCUACCAGUCAAAACAUUUUCUCCAUGUCCACUCUACUCAGUACUCUCGGUAUUCUGUAAGUUUUAAUAAGAUCCCCCUCAUCCUCUGAACCAGACCCAGAAUCCCCAAUCACUCUUCAUAUGUGAAGUCCUUCAUCCCCACGAUCAUCCUUGUGAACUCUAACACCACCACAUACGUCUUUAGAUAGAGAACCUAAAACUGCUCGCAAUAUUCCAAAUGCAGUCUGAUCAGAGUCUUAUAAAGCCUCAGUAGUGCAGCCCUGCUCUUGUAUUCUAGCCCUCUUGAAAUGAAAGCUAACAUUGCAUUAGCUUUCCUAACUGCCAACUGAACCUGCAUCUUAACCUUAAGAGAAUCCUGAACUAGGACUCUUAAGUCCUAUUGUGCUUUGGAUUUCCAAAGCCUUUCCCCAUUUAGAAAAUAGUCUCUGCCGCUAAUCUUCCUGCUAAAGGGUACAACUUCACACUUUUCCAUAUUGUAUCCCAUCUGCCAUUUCUUUACCCUCCUUCUCUGUAGCCUGUCCAAGUCCUUCUGCAGGCUGUCUGCUUCCUCAACGCUACCUCAUCCUUCACCUAUCUUUAUGUCAUCUGCAAAGUUAGCAACAAUGCCCUCAUAGAAUCACAGAAUCUCUACAGUGCAGAUAGAGAUAAUUCAGUCCAUCAAAUCUGCGCUGACCUUGGAGAGCAGCCCAUGCAGAUCCUUCACCACCACUGUAUCCCCAUAACUCCACAUUUACCAGGGCUAAUCCACCUAGUCUGCAUAUCCCUGGACACUGCAUUGCCCUUUCACAUGGCCAAUCCAUCUAGCCUUCCCUCUUUGGACUCUGGUCAGUUAGAAAUGAAACUGGUGAUGUCUAUCAAUUAGUUAAUUGAUACUUAGAUAUAAAGGGGCAAUGGCUGGUGCUGAGACAGGACUGUUGGAUUUAUAUUGUCAAUAAACAAAGAAUGUUUGUGCCUCUUAGCUUCUGUUUGGCCAGCUUGGUUCAAAUCCAUUCACAGCUGACAUUCAGGUGCAUUACUGGAGUAGAAUUUUGUGAUACAGAUGUUAAACUGAGGCCAUACUUGGAUCUAUAGGAGGAUGGCACUAUUUCCAAGAAGAUCAGGAAAGUGCUGCUUGGUGCCCAGCAAAUACUUAUGCCUCAAUUAACAUUACGCACACAGAUUAUCUAUUCAUUGUCACAUUGUCAGAUUUUGCUCAGUAUGUAUUGGCUGCCACUUUAUAAUAGUGACUGCACUUCUUUGGAUUUCAUUAAGUGUAAAGCAGUUUGAGAUGUCUAGUGGCCAUGGAAAGCUUUAUAUAAAUGCAAAUCUUUCUUUCUUUUACUUCACGUUGUUUAGCUUUCAUGCAUGAUUUUAAACUGAAUUAGAUAUUCUAAUUUUUGCUUCCUGGUUGAGAAUCUACAUGCCUCUUUAAGAGUUGUGGUGUAUUUUUUCCCUGUUCACAUUGCUGCAGUCCCCUAAAGAGGGCACCAUACUGAAAAGGACUUCUUGUAACUAAGCUGUUGCUGAAAAGCCCACAGUUAAGUCUGUGGUUGCUGUACGCGCAAUGAAUAGUAAGUUUUGUUCCUACAUCACCGACCGCAAAAUCUGGGCCAUUAACUUUGUGCAAUGGUUGAUUUAACAAGAAGAAUAAGAUCCAGUGAUGCAUAUAAACUCAUUUAUCAAUUCUGAAACUCAGUAGAGCACACCCUCUGGUUCUAAUAGAAGAUACUUUUUAAGUCGAAGUGGGAGGUUAAGUUUUGGCACUGCUUCGUAACACCUUUUCUGCAACACUGCUCGAACUGCACAUCUAGCCAGGUGCAUCAGAGAGCGUGGAGAUCUUCCACAGACAUCAAACAGAGAUUUAUAAAACUCCCAGUGUUGCUGCAAAGUCAAGAAAAUGAUAUUGGUCAAAGACUGGCUUUCUAAAUCAAAGGUUCUCAAAUUGGGUGAGUGAGUGAGUGCUGCAUGACAGAGUUAUUGGGGAUGAGGGAGAGCGGGUUCAUAAUACAUAAUGUGUUAUUUUAGCUUAAAUUUGCUCUAUUUAUUUAAUUUCAUUUGAAGCAUUUUACUUUUGUCCACUACAAGCAAUAAUAGGAUGGGAACAAGAAGUGGUCUUAUUGUGUCUGAGUAUGUUUUGAAAGAAACAGAAAGUUUCUUGAAAGAUGGGCUAUUUAAGCCUGACCUGAUAGUGUGCAUAGCUUCAGGCCACAUUAUUUUAUUUUCAAACAGCUGCUAUUAUUUGUGAACUUUUAGCUAGGAAAAUAAUCAAAUCCAAGAAAAUGGCUCAAACAAGCCAUUCUUUUUCAGUCAUGAUUUGAUCGGUUUGGUCAUCAGAUUAUUUUGCUGUUAAUAAUAACAAUGCUAUAGUUUGAGUUGACUUGCUACCCCUUUGAAAAUACGAAAUUCAAGUCACC